GUGGGGAAUUUUGGACAAUGGGCGCAAGCCUGAUCCAGCAAUGCCGCGUGCAGGAAGAAGGCCUUCGGGUUGUAAACUGCUUUUGUACGGAACGAAAAGGCUCUGGUUAAUACCUGGGGCUCAUGACGGUACCGUAAGAAUAAGCACCGGCUAACUACGUGCCAGCAGCCGCGGUAAUACGUAGGGUGCAAGCGUUAAUCGGAAUUACUGGGCGUAAAGCGUGCGCAGGCGGGUUUGUAAGACAGACGUGAAAUCCCCGGGCUCAACCUGGGAAUGGCGUUUGUGACUGCAAAGCUGGAGUGCGGCAGAGGGGGAUGGAAUUCCGCGUGUAGCAGUGAAAUGCGUAGAUAUGCGGAGGAACACCGAUGGCGAAGGCAAUCCCCUGGGCCUGCACUGACGCUCAUGCACGAAAGCGUGGGGAGCAAACAGGAUUAGAAACCCGGGUAGUCC
rnacentral:rRNA from 1 species